GGCUUCCGCUUCGGUCCCGUGGCUUCUGGAGUCUUCUAGAUGAUAGAAAAUUGCGCGGCACAUUAGUAUCUCUAUGUAAACCCGACGUGUGGGCCUUUCUUUCAUAUUUCCUAAUACCCCCUGCAGAAAUAGACAAACACCAAAACUUGUGGAAUUCUGUCAGAUAAAACCCUAAGUCUGGGUGUUGGUUGCAUUUGGAUCCUUUUCUAUGAUUAGUUGAUGGUUAAUUGUGAGCAUUAAGGACCGUCAACAGGGCCUUUCUUCCAUAUUUCCUGAUAACCCCCUGCAGAAAUAGACAAACACCAAAACUCGUGGAAUUCUGUCAGAUAAAACCCUAAGUCUAGAUCUUAAUUUCAUUUGGAUCCUUUUCUUUGUUUAUUUGAUAAUUAAAUUUGAUACUUAAGGACCGUCAACAAACUCCCCCAAGCUUACCUCUUGCUCGUCCCUGAGCAAGGAUAGACUCAGCUAUGGAUCAUAAGUUGUUGCAAUAUAUAUUUAAAAAUUGACGGUACACAUGCUUUUUAAAUAAGAUCUCAUCUCUAAGCUAGAGUUAACUUGUUAAGACUUAAAACUCACUUACUUUACCUUCACCAUGGGACUUGUAGCUGUCACUUCUGUCUUGAGUGGUUAAAAGAUAGAACAGUCUAGUCAAGUGCCAUGUCUCUUAUUCUUGAUCAGCUAUAGCUCUGGGGUUUUUGCAGAUUUUCAAAUAAAACUCAGACAUUCCUUGUAUGACUCUCUCAUAUCUCUCUUUUGUGGUAUUUCUGGAUCCUUACCAAGGCAGUGAUGGUAUAUGCCUUCUCUCAAGAUAUGUAGUAUUUGUGGUAUAAGGCAUAGUGACAUUGCCUUCUCUCUCACCCUACUCUAAUAAGGCUUUAAUAUUUGGAGCUCAUAGGUGGGAGAUAAAGUAUACAUACUUACAAGACAUAUAUUGUAUAGUGAAAUCAUGGAUCCAAAGAAACAAAUUAAUAAGUCAAAUCAAGAUGUGCAUGUGUGGCGAAUGAAUGGUGUAUGGUGAUGAUGGUGAUAACAAUGGUGGUGGAAGUCUAAUUCUACUUUUGCUCUUUUGAGGGGAUACAUACCUUUCUUGCUUUUGAAAAUUUAUGAGGAGAAUGAGAUGCUCUUCUUUUUCUUUUCCCUCAGGUGGGUAUCUUGCACCCCUAAUUCUAUUGUCGGACAAUUUUUACCUCUCGUCUCACUUUUUCUUUUCUUUCGAGGUUCCGAGCACUUGCUCCUUUUUUUAAUUCCUCGUAUCUCUUUUCUUCUUCUCUUUUUUUUUAUUUUCAGAGCAUUCAUCUCUUGAGAUAAUAUAGCAAGUGGUAGUAACAAGAUAACUUGAGCAUUUAUUUCACAAGGGAAAAUAGAAAUAUUUUUGGUUAUUCUCUCCCGGAUUAGGAGUAGAAUAUUUUUAGGUGGUUCUGGAGAUGGAAUGGAUGGAUAUAUGUGGAUGGUACUUCCGGAGUAGAAGUAGCAUAUAUGAGUGAACGUGCAAGUGAAAUCUUGAUUUAACCACAUGACAAGCUCCUAAGGGUCUACACAGCUUGACCACACUCAAUGCUGAUAAGUAGUAAAUAGUAAAUGUGUGGCUUAAAGUCUAGCAAGCAUGUAUAUAUGGCUGUGGUAGGAAUUUAAAACUCUCAUCAUACAGGAACUCAUCAUGCAACAUUUUAAAGAUUUUCAAAGAUAAAAUUCUCCAGAAUUCUAGCAUCUCUAGGAACAGAUAAACAGCAGCUCAACCUUCCCAUAUCAUAUCCGUUAACAACUUAGACUUCAGAUCAAGUUUUCAUCCCACAAGUUUAGGUCUAGGGCAAGCUUUUAAUUAUAACAGUUAUGUCUAAACUUGAGAGAGAACUUAAAAUGUGCAAAUUAGGCAGAGCAACUAUUCAUCAUAUCCAUGCUUAAGUUUUAAUUAGAUACAGAUUAGCAUAGCCACUUUAUUUAUUUAUUAAACACACUAAGCAAAAGACAAAUAUAUAAGCAUAAAAUCUUUAUUUUGUUUUUCAUAGUUAUGUGUAUUUAUAUUCUAAAAUAAUAUAAGUAUAAAGAUAGAUAGAUAGAAAUACUUAUCGAGAUAAAUGGGGGUGCUCUCCCCCAAGCUGAAUUUUGACGUAAUUUCUCUUGAUGUAGCUAGCAGGUGGCAGAGGUGUAUUUGAAAGUCAGCAGCAUUCUGACAGCGAUUAGAAUGUCCUCCGUCUGCUAGUCUUCUUGAUUCUUAAAUCCUGUGGAGCUCAAAUAGACAACAAAGCUUGUGGAACUGAUUAAGUGUUAGCAUAAAUAUCUAGCCUUUAUCAUGUUGAGACUCCUCGAUAAUUAUUACUCCCUGUUUUUAUAUUUUUAUUUUAUAAAGCUGAAAAGAAAUAUUUAUUUUAUUUUUAUGCCACCACAGUGAAUGUACUUAUGGGUUUUAUGCCACUCGUAUACUCACAUGGGGCUUACUGUUUUUUUUCAUAUUUUUAUUUUCUUUUUAGGAUAGUACGAACAUAAUUAACUAAGUAAACUAUUUUAAAAUAAUUGAAAGGGAAAGGAUAACUACCAAGUUUACCUCUUGGCAAGGCGUUCGGUGUUUUUAAGUCCUCCGAACGGGACUCUCCAUUUUCUUAAUUGUCCUGAGGUUCGUUGGGUGGCGUAGUCGGUAUUUCCGGCAGCGCCUCCUCUUCAUGUAUAGUUAUCUUCAUUUUCCAUACCUGACUCGGUGCUUCAAUCUCCUCUGGAUAAUUCUGUUUAAACUCUACGUCUUCUGACCUUACAACUUCUCCUUCAUAGUCUGCCCAUCCGUCCUUGAUGAUCUGCCUCCUCUGGUUGCGGUUGCGUCUCUUUCUUACCUGCUUAGAUUCUUCAACGAUAUAGUUAGGGUCAGUAAAGUAACGGCGUACCUUCUCUGAGGGGAAGUGCAUAUGGACUUUUCCGGUUCCAAUGUAGAUAAUUGCUUUAACGGUGCUGAGGAAUGGUCUUCCAAGGAUGAUGGGUGGAUCAUACUCAUCUUCUCCCAUGUCAAUAACUUGAAAGUCUGUGUAGACAAAGUGAUCGUCUAUUUUGACUGGGACAUCAGUUAUUGUUCCUUUAACUUCUCGAAAUGUCUGAUCUGCCAUCUGGAGCUGAAUGUAUGUUGGUCGUAGGGGCAUGGUUCCGAACAAGAGCCGAUAGGUGACUGCGGCCAUUAUGUUGACACGCCGAUCCGGUGUCGCAAAACGUCUUGUAGAAGUUGUAUCCAUUUAUGGAGCAGUAGAUGCUUGGCAUUCCUGGGCCGUCCUUCUUAGUCAAAAGCGGUGACUUAAGUUGUUGAUCUUGGCCUCCAUGAACUACAGUGACCAUCUUAGCUGACUCGGUCCACACUUGCUUGUUCCUGUUCCUCCUGUUGGUCCUCUUCCUUGAUUUACGUCUAGAUUGAUCUGGGAUUUGUGUAGUCUUGUUCUUGAAGAAAAAUGUUUCCUUCUUCCCUUUGACGUAGAAACUGAUCUUGGUAGCACUAGCGUAGAUGAUAGCUCCCGUGGUGUUCAAGAAUGGUCUCCCUAAGAUGAUAGGUGCUCUCUCAUCAUUUCCGGUCUCUACCACUACGAAGUCUGCUGGGGCAUACAAGGUACCAACUCGGACACAAAGGUUCCUCACGAUUCCUUUCGGAAAAGUUAUCGUCUGAUCUGCAAACUGCAAACACAUGGUUGUCUCUAAUAAAGGAUAUGUAAAGAAUUUUUCAUAGAGUACUCUAGGUAUAAUGUUGACACUGGAGCCAAAGUCACAGAGUGCUUCUGGGACAUCCACCAUGCCGAUGGAGAUCGGGAUGACGGGGCGUCCUGGAUCGCCUCUCUUGACCGGCAGAAGGUCAGUAGAGAAUUCCGUGACGGGGUUACUCCAAUUACCUGCAUCAAACAUGUCUACAAGAUUUGCAGAUUCUAAUCCUUCCGGUUGUGAUGGUAUACCGGGGUUAGUAGUAGGAACAGCAGCAGCUAUUUGAUUUAACUGAGAUUCAAUCAUUUUAUUAAAGCUAAUUUGAUUCUUGAUGGCAGUAGAGAAAUUAUCCAUUCUAUUAUUUAUAUUUUCUAGCAUUUUAUCAUUAGAUGCCAAUUUCUUAGAUAGGUUAUCCAUUAGCUUUCCUUGAUUAGACACUAACUCUCUUAAAGGUGGAAAAUUAUUAGUGUUGUUGUAAGAAUUGUUACCUUGAUAAUUACCUGAGUAGUUAGGCCUCUGUUGAUUCCAACCUUGAUUUUGUUG
rnacentral:lncRNA from 1 species